CCUACGGGUGGCAGCAGUGGGGAAUAUUGCGCAAUGGGCGAAAGCCUGACGCAGCGACGCCGCGUGAGGGAUGAAGGUUUUCGGAUCGUAAACCUCUGUCAGCAGGGAAGAACGGUCACUGUGAUAAUCAGCAGUGAAUUGACGGUACCUGCAAAGGACACACCGGCUAACUCCGUGCCAGCAGCCGCGGUAAGACGGGGGGUGCGAGCGUUAAGCGGAAUAACUGGGCGAAAAGCACGAGUAGGCGGUAUGUCAAGUCAAGGGUGAAAUCCCGGCGCUCAACGUGGGAUCUGCCUUUGAAACUGGCAAACUGGAGUGUGUGAGAGGAUAGUGGAAUUCCAGGUGUAGGAGUGAAAUCCGUAGAUAUCUGGAGGAACAACAGUGGCGAAGGCGACUAUCUGGCACAUAACUGACGCUGAGGAGCGAAAGCGUGGGUAGCAAACAGGAUUAGAUACCCCUGUAGUC
rnacentral:rRNA from 1 species